rnacentral:lncRNA from 1 species
AGAAAUGCUAAUGGGAGGAGCCCAAAUAACAGUGACAAAACCUUCCUGAGCAAAUUCUCUUCUCAAGAAAUUACACUUGUGAAGCCGAGGUUUUACAUUGAGAGCAUAUCGUUUUUAAAGGAUAAAACCACCGUGGAGCUGUUUUUCCUGAAUGCAAAGGCCUGUGUGCACAAGGGGCAAAUCGAAGUAGAGAGCGAAACCAUCUUCAAGUUAGCAGCGUUUAUUUUACAGGAAGCCAAGGGAGAUUAUACCAGUGAUGAAAAUGCCAGGAAAGAUUUAAAGACAUUACCAGCCUUUCCAACCAAAACUCUUCAGGAGCAUCCAUCCCUUGCCUACUGUGAGGACAGGGUAAUUGAGCAUUAUUUGAAAAUCAAAGGUCUCACUCGAGGUCAAGCUGUGGUUCAGUAUAUGAAAAUAGUAGAAGCUCUACCGACUUACGGUGUCCAUUAUUAUGCAGUAAAGGAUAAGCAAGGACUUCCUUGGUGGCUUGGAAUAAGCUAUAAGGGAAUUGGCCAAUAUGAUAUACAAGACAAGGUGAAGCCUCGGAAG